ensembl:snoRNA
UAACUAUGAUGAGUCUAUCCCGAACCUGAUUUGUGAUGACACUUUCUUAUGGAUCUGACUGCUGAGUU